ACGUAACAUCUCCUUGCCUGAUUCAUAGGUUACUUUGAAGCUCAAGUGAGGCAAAAAUGCAGGAAGGCACUUUGAAGACUUUGUAAAGCACCAUCAGAGCGUGUUACAGGAAUGGCUGCAGGGCAUUGCUGUCUGCACUACAGUAAUAAAGGAACACUCGGAUAGAUAUCACUGCUUCCAGUGAUAAGCAAUCUCCAGGAAUCUGCAGCGAGAUCGCUGGUUGACUGGAAAUGCUCUCUAUUUCUCCAGAGGGUAUCUGUCCUUGAAGAAGCCACUCAUUGCCUAGAAAAUAAAAAGGCAGUGCCUCUCAGAAAGGACGUCGGUGUCGUACUGAGGAAGGCCAUGUUUACAUGGACUUUCGGCUUAAAGAGGGGUUAGAAAUCAAGAGCCCGCAUCUGGAAAACACAAGAACAUGCUUUCCUGCCAUCUUAAAGAGAAGAGGCAGAGCACAGUCUCAUGACUUCUCAAUGACUUGGGUCAUUAGUACAAAUACUGGAUCGCCUACUGAGUGCAAGCAAGUAAUGGGGCUCGAGUUCUACCUCUGGCAUCUCUAAAGAAGAAAAUGUAGCUUCAGGCUUAACGUAAAUCAAGUCCUUUUGAAAUGAAGUAAGCACCAGCUGAAAGCACUGAAGCACUGGACAGACGCAGACGUGGGAGAGUAAAAGGAACGGGCCAUCUACCACAGCGUUGUCAGGUCUGAAGACUGGGAGCUAGGAAGUAAGAAGAUCUGUUACUUCAAGCACAAGUACAUUAUAGAUUACCGGCAAAGGUCCAGAUGGUGGCUGCUUCAUCAGCCUGGUCAAUAGCUCGGCAGAGUGCUCCCCACCGAACCUACGUGAGCAAGAAGAAACCAACCUUAUGUCACGCUCCUGAGAAUCCGGGUUGUUUGUUACGGUGCCAGAGCCCAGCGCAUCCCAACUAGCACAGAGGUGCUGCGAGAAGAGAGACCCGAGGAGAGGGGAUUCUAUGGACUCGUGUAGUUCGCCCAAAGAGAGAGACGGUCACUUACUUUUUCUUCGGUAGUCUGCCACAGUCCAGCAGCAGUGCCCAUAUCUGAUGAGUCCCUGCCAUGGCUAUCCACAGAAUAUCAUUUCUUUGGACUUCCGAACCUUUAUAAAAAUAAAAAGGAAUUAAUAUCUCAUUAAUACAAAUACUCUACGUCUUUCAGAAAUUUAAAGACAGCAGUAAGUUUAUAAAUCAUCUGAAGAAGAAAAAAGUAUUUACAGUUUUAAGUUGCUUUUGAAAUUUUUCCAUUUUCCUUGUGAAAGAUUUCUUUAGAUUUAUGAACUUACCUGUAAAUUCACAGAAAUCCAAAGUAUUCUUAAAUAGCAGGAAGUCCCUCUGCAUCUCUGGGCACAAUGUUUUUAAAUAUCUGAUUUCUCAUUUGAUAAAAUAGGUUGACAUACAUUCUCCAAAGAAACUCUGCCGGUCAAACACCUAGCACUAACCACUGAAAUCAUAUGCUUUAAUAACAGGUUCUUUGAAUAAUUUCUCAUGAAAAAAACCCUAUCUUUUAAUAGUGUAAGAAAUGGGUAUUUCCACUGGGGGUGCCCAGCUGGCUCAGUCAGUAGAACAUGCGACUCUUGGUCUCAAGGUCAUGAGUUCGAGCCCCACAUUGGGCAUGGAGCCUACUUAAAAGUAAAAUAAAGGGGUGCCUGGGUAGCUCAGUUGGUUAAGCAUCUGCCUUCGGUUCAGGUCCUUAUCCUCAGGUCCUGGGAUCCAGUCCCACACUGGGUUCCCUGCUCAGUGGAACUUCUCCUCUGCCUGCUGCUCCCCUUGCUUGUGUGUUUAGUCUGUCUCUGACAAAUAAAUAAAAUCUUUAAAAAAUAUAUAUAUAUAUUUAAAAUAUAUUUCCACCACAGGAUUGGCUAGACUUUGAAACACAUCACAGUUCCUAUUUGAAAAUCCAUUAUUUAAUUGGCUUUGAGGCUUUUUCCAAAAACUAUAGUUGACUUGCAAAAAAGCUAAAACUAUAUUACAAUAUAGACUAUACAAUAUAUUAUAAUUGUUUACGCAAACUUGUAAGUAAUUUUCUACUUUCUUAGACUGUUACAACUUACUACAAUGUGACAAGGCUCUAUUUUUCAAAUUAAUGCUACUGUUAAAAUAUUUAAUUUAGGAGUGCCUGGCUGGCUCAGUCAGUGGAGCAUGUGACUCUUGAUCUUAGUCGUGAGUUGGGGGGUGUGGGGCCUAAAAAAUGUAUCUAUUUUAAACUGUAUCCUGAGGUGACUUUUACAUGUAGUAGAGAUUUGUAAAAAUAAUUUGGUCAGAUAUUCCUUUUGCUAAAAGAAAGAUAUUGGUAAGGCCAUUUUAUUUGUUAUUUUAACUUCAAGUAGUGUGUGUCCAGAAGGAACCUGUUUUCCUUCACUUGUAUUACCUUCAAGUGUCUUUCAAUUUAACGACAACAAAAAUAGUAUUGAUGAUUCUCGGUAAAUUGUGGUGGCUAUGUGCCAAGAACUUCAUAGAUAUUAUCACUUACAUUUUCUCAAAUGCCCCAAGGGAAAGGUAGUGUUAUUAGGCCCUUUUUACAGAUGAAGGAACUGAGACCUUAGAGAGGUGAGGGAACUUGCCAGCAACCCAGCGCCAGUAAAUGAACAGGAAUCUGACACCAGGCAGACCAACAGAAAAAUGUGAAUCACAUGCUGCCUCUUUUUCUGUGUUCUUAAUUGCUAUCCUAUGAAAUCUUAAGGAAAGUAUUUCAAUUUAAUUUUUCAUAGUCAAAUAUUUUUAUGAACAAAAAUUAUAUUAAAAGUGACAAGGGCAUCCAUUUAUUCUGGGGACUCAGUCUCUGCUUAAUCACCUUCAGAGUAGAUCAAAAGCUUUUCCUAAGUAUUUUAUUUUGCUCCUGCCAUGUGAGGACAAGGUACAAAGGUGACCAUCCAUAAGCCAGAAGAGAGCUCUCACCAGAAACCAAUCAUGCUGGCAUCCUGACCUUGGACUUCUAGCCUUCAAAACUGUGAGAAAAUAAAUUUCUGUUGUUUAAGCCACCCCAACUGUGAUAUUCUGUUAUGGCAGCCUGAGGUGACUAAGACAUUCCCCCGAGAACAGAAAUGAGACAAGGAUAUCUGCUAAUCAACAUUUUUAUUUAGCAUCAUUUGAGGCCCCAAUUUGUGCAACAAGAAGCAAAAAGUAUAAAGAUUAGAAAUAAAGCUGCAAUUAUCAGAAGAUGACUUGCUUUGAAAGCCUCUACCUUGCCAAAGGAGAGCUGUGUUGGUAUAUAGCUGAGGGAAAGACCAAACCAGUUCUCCAAACAGACCAGCCUAGUUCAACCAGGGUCUAUUAUAUGAAGGCCAAACUUCAUAGUAGUAAAGUGUAAACAGUUUGCUUGGUUUUGCUCUCUGUGUACUUACUUCCUUUAGAAGCCUGACGAAUGAGAAAAAGUAGAGAAGCAAAGACUAUGUCAGAUCAUGAUUUCAGUGUCUUGGGAUUUCCCAUGACAACUGACGGUGACGAUGAGGAGCACAGUGGGCAGGAGGGAGGAUGGUGACCAUCUAGAACAUCUCCUAUAUUUAAGGCGCUGAGCUAAGGAAUAAGGACCUUAUGGGGAUUACUUCCUUUAAUGACUUUAGUAGGUCUUAUUCUUAUCAUCUCCAUUUUACAAAGCAGCUGAAACUGAAAAGGGCUAAAUAAAUUAUUGAAAUUCGCAUAGCUAAACCUGUUAUAAUAAUCUAUUAGUGAGUCUGACUCCAGAUUAUUCGUGUUCUGAUCAGAAUGCAGGAAAUACAGAAGUGAGCCUGGGCUCUACGGGCCCAGUCCUUGCUUGGCCCAUUGACUUCUCCCUCCCUCCUGCCUCUGCCUCAUGGACUUAGCUCAGGCUUGAAGUACACAAAAGCAUUUUCUGUGUGAUCGGAAGCAGAGAUCUGACUAAAUGUAAUCAUGCCUGUCUAUUCUAGGAUGUGUGCCUAGGUUCACUCCUGUCCUUCCCUCCCAAUAGCCUGUGGCAUAAGCCUAUGGCCGAAUCAUCUCUUACCAGGAUUUUUUCCCAAUCCCUUGCCUUUCCAUUUUUGGUUUGUUUCAGCUUAUCGGCAGCUCUCUGUGACUCACAAGAUGAAACUCUAUAUUAUAGCAAAUACUUCUGCAGUACUUUCUAUGGGGCCAGGCUCUAUUCUAAGUGCUUCGUGUAUAUCAGCCCUCAUAAUUCUUAUAAUAAGCUUCUGAGCUAGAUACUAUUAAUAUCUUUAAUUUUGAUGAGGAAAUUGGGGGCUUAAAGAGAAUAGGUAACUUGUCCAAAAUCACAUAACUACUAAGAUGUAAAACUAAUUAAAACCCAAGUGGUCUGGCUCCAGUCCAUGCAAUACUGCCUCUGAGGAAGCUUUUACCCAGCCCCAUCAUUCCCCCGAAGGCUGAAGGAUUUGUUCUUGCAGAUAAAAUGAUGAGUUGAAAGAAAGAAAGAAAGGAAGGAAGGAAGGAAGAAAGAGGUCUGGCAUUUAUAAGGCUUAUCAAACCAACCAGAAUCAUAUUAAUAAUGUAUAUUGUUCACCCUGGAGUCUGAAAUGUGAAGCACACAGUUGUACUACCACAUAUGGGUAUUAGUUUUGUUCCUUCUAACAAGAAUGUGACAAUCAUAAACAUCUCAAUUUUAAA